rnacentral:lncRNA from 1 species
UUAAAAUGGCCUUAUUACAACCCAAAACCAAAUAAUAAUAUUAAUAAGAUAAAACUUAUAAAGAAAUAAAUCGGCUACUUAUUGCAAUUAAAAGAAACAGAAACAGUAGUGUGGCCAUCUCCGAGUCCCUCGCAGCUUCAAACCAUCUAAGCUUAGGGAUUACCUGCACAGUUAGAAACAGGGUGAGUUUACGAAAACUUAGUGUGUAAUCCCCAACAACAAACAAACAGUGAAUAACACAGUGUCAGUACAAUCUAGGCCAAAGCCCUAUUCAGUAACAGUACAGUCUAGGCCUUAGCCCUUAAACAGUAGCAAUAUGGGCCUAAGCUCUAAUUCAGUCUCGACAUAUACUGGGCCGAAGCCUUUUCAUAAAUCAUAUCACUGGCCGAAGCCUUUACUGUAAGCGGUAUGGCCCAUAGGCCCAUUUCAAUAUCACAUGUAAUAUCAAUGAAUGUAUGCAAGCCCAUUUGGGGAGACUACUCAACCCACCAUCCGCUAUUCUCCACCCGUACCAACCAACACACCAUGUGGGGAAUAACUCAACCCACCCAACCGAACUCUCCACUGGCAGCAUAGCUGCUUUAUCAUAUAACAGGAGGCCUAGCCUUUUUUAAUAACUAGGGCAAAGCCCUUUCUGAUAAUGUAACACCCCUAUAACCCGUGUCCGUCACCGGGGUGGGUUAUGAAGAGUUACUGAUUCAAAAUUUAAUAUUUUAAAAACAUACACAAUAAAAAAAAUAAAAUAAAAAUAUACAUCGCCAAACUAAGUUAAAGAUCAAAAUUCAAACUUGUAUCGACAUUCAAAAGUAGCCAUAUUCACAUGGCUUAUAUAUAAGUACAUCUCAAAAUAUCAUUCGCUUAAGUCUAUUCCAUACAUGCCAUACUAGCUUCAAAAUAUAGUAGUACCCCAAAAUGACAGAUAGUGUGACGAGUAGCUGACGAUUCCCUUUUCGAGCAGGUAACUGGAAUCAAUAAUCUAUAAAACAGAGAACGUAACAAACGAAGUAAGAUUUCAAAGCUUAGUAAGUUUUAACCAUCACAAAUAAUUAAAACUUAUCGAAAAUCAAAACAUUCAUUUAAGCAGACUUAUUCUCAAUUCAAAUUGCUUCAUGGCCGAAUACACAUAAACAUAAACAUAGAUUCUCAGCACAUAUUUUUCUUUUACUAAUAGUUCAUACGAUGCAUUUAAAAUAAAUAAUCUCAUAUAUUAACACCAUUUGAACGAAUAGGUCAUUGCUUUACUCGUAGAAAUAACAAUCAUUCACACUUAAGUAUCAUUCUUUAAUACUAAUAAUUCACAAAUCAUUGACUGAAUGUACAUGAGUACAUAAAGAAAUUUUAAUAUAUAAUUCAUAUACAAAUAUACCAUGACCGAUUAAAUCAUUCUCAUAUUCGCAAAUAUAACCAUCAAUUACACUUAUAUAUAUAAAUGUAUAUAUAUAUUCUUUGAUGCUAUGAUUCACUUCGAAAUCAAAUCCCCGAUGUGUAAGUAAUACGUACCUGAACACCUUAAAUGUAUAGUACUUACUCAACGAUGGUUUACUGCGAACAUUCAAUAUCGUAGUCUUACUUAAUUACUGGCAUUAAGCCUGUCAGGUCUUAGAACUUGAAACCAAUUACCAGCACAAGCUUGCUAGAAUUUAAACCCGGUAUAAUACCAGCUCGAAGCCUAUGGGACUUUCGCCCGAACAUAUUUCCAGUGCGUUGCCUGUGGACCUUAAGUCCGGUUAUAAUUCCAGCACAUAGCCUGCGGACCUUAAGUCCGGGGUAUAAUUCUAGCAUAUAGCCUGCGGGUCUUUAAGCCCGGAUAUAAUUCCAGAAUAUAGCUUGCGGGUCUUUAAGCCUGGAUACACAUCAAAUAUCAUGCAUAUUUAAUCAUAUAUUAACACAACUUAUUCAACAUAUCACAUUAGUAGUCAUUUGCUACGUUCGGAUAUAAGCUCCAUAUGAUUACCAUCAUUUACAUUUUGAUUCGAAAGCCAUACAUAAAUAUCACAUAUCAAGGCAUCAUCAAUUAUAUACUAAAGGUGACUACUCAAAACUUACCUCGAAUAUUUUUGAACAGUCUCGGAUCGGCUAUUCAACUACUUUCUCUUUUCCCUUGUCCAACCUUUGUUCUCUAUGCUCUUGAGCUUAAAUUCAACAAUUUUAAACUAGUCAUUAUUCGACUAUUCAAGUAUUACUUUCAGAAUAUAAUAUAUAUAUACGACUUUCACAUAUAUAGAUCAUAGUAAGUUUAUAAGAAAACAUUAAGAAACUCAUUAACAAAUUUUUAUCAAUAUUUACCACAUAAUCACAAAUUCACAAAUAAACUGUCUUCCUGAGCAACAGUCACUAAAUUAUUUAUAAUUGGAGCUAUUAAACUCCAAAUCAAUUGCUAUAAAAUUUCCCUGAAAAUAGACUCAUAUAUAUUUUAUCCAUAAAAUUUUCAGAAUUUUUAGCUUGGCCAAUCAAUACCAGAUUUUUCUUAAAGUUUCCCCUGUUUCACUAUUUGACUAAUCUGACCACCCUUUACUUCGAAUCAAAUUUCUAAUUGUACAGAAGUCAAAAUAUGUUCUCGCUGAUUUCAUUUGAAACUAGACUCAUUAAGCUUUAAUUAAAUAGUUUAUUUAGCUUCUAACUCUACUCCCACAAUUUAUGGUGAUUUUCCAAAAUCACAUUACAGCUGCUGUCCCAAGCAGAUUUACUACAAUUUACUAUUUCACAACUCUUUGCAUUUAUAUCAUUUAAACAUGUAUAGUUAUGCAACCAAAACACAAAUCAUACAUACCUUAUACUAUGCAUAUCAAAAUAACUCCAACCAUGAUUGGAUAUAACCGAAUUUAAACAUGAAAAUUAAACCAUUUUCGAACUCCUAUAGCUCAUUCGGCAAUUUACAAAAUCAUACCAUUAGAAUUCAUGUACAAUACCGAACCUUUAGACAUUCAAACAUCUACCCUUUUCUUUUCAAAUCAUCUAAAUGGCAAUACUCAUAUUUUAGCAUUUAACUUCAAAACAUUUAUUCAAGUAACUAAACAAGUCCAAGUUCGGCUAUUACACAUAUAAAUACUAUCAAAUUAAACUUUUAACUAGUUCAAACUUCUCUCAUCAACAUUUAUUCAUCAAAACAUAAAGAAAAUAAUCCAAUCUCUUCAUUAACAACCAUGGCCGAAUGCUCCAUUCACCACCCAAAUCCAAAAUUUUAACAUGGCCUAAGUAAGAAACAUGCUGAUUAACCUAAAACAAGCUAGAAUUUUAAAAAAAAAAACCUAACACAAUUUACUAACCUUCCUUAUGAUUCAAAUGAUCGAAUGUCUUGCUCCAUUUUUUUUCUUUCUUUAGAUUCGGCUAAGAAGAACAAAGCUGAGACUUUGUUUUCUUCACCAUUCUUUCUAUUAUUAUUUUAUUUUAUUCAUCUAUAUUAUAAAGUAUAAAGCCAUUUAACUAAUAAUUAAUACAGAUAUUUAAUAUAAAAGCAUCAUCAUGGCCGACCACUAUAAACAAAAAUGUAUAUUUGACAUGCAAGUCUAAACCUUUUGUGACAUGCAUUAAUAGACCCCCUUUUUAAAAUUACCUAUCACCUUCCACAAUUAUUUCACAUAAGUCCUAUUUAAUAAUUUCACAUACAAAUGACAAAAUUAGAGCAUGAAACUUUCACAUAUGCAUGUACACAUAUAAUAAGCAUAGAAUAUAACAGUUAACUAUUUUUAUGACUCGAUUUUGUGGUCCCGAAACAACUUCCUUACUAGGGUCAAAUUAGGGUUGUCACAGAUAAACUGGGGCAAAGCCCUUUUCGGUAAACUGGGGCAGAGCCCUUUUAGCACUUCCUCCAUCAAUAUAACCCAUAUCCCAUGCAAUAUGUCAUGUAUGCAGAAUGUCAUGCCCAUAUUUGAAUCAAACAAUCACAGUCAAGUCAUUCGUAUCAUCAACAUAUUCACAAUCAAAUCCGUCAACCACACAGUCCAAGUCAGUCACUUGCCCACAAGGGCAAAACAAUCAUUUUUCACAUUAUAAGGGUAAUUUCGUAAUUUUACCAAAUAUCAGGGUUUUCCAUGUUCAUCCACAAUUGGCAAUAUUUCUAAGUGUUUAAACAAUGAUCUUUAACCCACUUAUCAAAUUCGGGCUUUUGGGCCCAAAACCCCUAAUGGGCCCUACGAAUGCCGAUUUAGCCCAUUAAGCCCACAUAAUCCAAAUUUUACAACAGUACUAACCAUGUUAACAUGCAACUUUUCCAGAUUCCAUUUUCUAUCAGUUUUACCCAAAUGGGCUCGAAGCCCAUUGGGCCCGAUUCUAGCCCAUUGAGGCCCAACUUACCAUCGUGCACAAAAUUGAGUUCUUGCCUGUUCCAUCGAUCCAAACAUCGAUCAUAUCGUAUUUAUCGCAUCUAUACCCAAACGCAACAUUACAAGUUCCUGAAAUACCGGUAUUUUAGCAUUUCGGCUUCUCAGCAAAUAUUAAUCUAAGUUAUUACGAGGGUUAGUACACACCUGUUACGGGUUGAAGUUGAAACGUUUCCAAAAUCAAUCGCCUACGAUAACCACCACCUGUCACUCAAACUUAA